CUAUGUCUGUCUGUCUAUGCUAUGUGUCGUCUUCCAUGUCUAUGUGUCUAUUACCUGUCUAUGUCUUUGUGAUUGCCCACAUGACUCAACUUUUGUCUGUGUCAACUCAACUUACUCCUGUCGUCUGUCCUUGUCGUUUGACCGUGUCGUCUUGCUGUGUCAAUGCUGCAUGUGUCAUGACAAUGUGUUGUUUCACUCUGUCGUUGCUAUGCGUCGUUGCUAUGUGUCGUUGCUAUGCGUCGUGUCACUCUGUCGUUGCUUUAUGUUGUUUCACUCUGUCGUUAGCAAGAGCUAACGUUAGCUAGCAAGAGUUCCGGCAGUUGAUGUCACGCGAUCCCAGCAUGCACCAGUCAAUAUCAAAACACUCACUGCCAUCGGAGCUGAGCCAGAGUCAGCUAGCUACGUUACUAGCUAGCUAGUUGCACCUAUUGUAGAUAGCUAGCUAGAUAAAUGGAUCAUUUAUUGAUCCCAAGGGGAAAUAAUUUGCUGCCUAUUUCAAUAAACGCCUUGAUUCAGCAUGGUGGAUAGCUGCUGUGCGCCGGGAUGCCAGAACCAUCGGAAAAAAGAUAAUGGAUAGCAUGAGAUUCCUAGCUAAAGAUCCCGAGAGAAGAAGUAAAUGGAUUGCUUCCAUAAAACGUGCUAGAAGCAGACGGAACCAAACCGAGCCAUGGGAGCCCACAAACAAUGGAUUUCGGUUAUGCUGUGACCACUUCAUAUCAGAGAAAAAGAGUGACAACCCUCUGUCACCUGACUACGUUCCUUCAAUCUUCAAUCAUGUUCCAUCCCAGGAGAAGAGAAAAAGAAGAAUGAGAUCCAUGACUUUGCUACCCAGUAAUGAUACAUUGGAUGAGGCUCUCACCAUCGAGCCUGAUUUGAUAUCUGUCUUAAAAAACAUCACCAGCCGGCUUGACGGUGUAGUGCCUCCACGGUCCAACAGUGUGAAUGUCAUGAGGGAGUCUGUACUGGAGAGUGCCUUCAGAGCAUUCAGGAGGCCAAGGUUUUCUCCAGAUCAUCGCCUCAAUGUUGUGUUUGUUGACGUUGAUGGCACCACAGAGGGGGCUGUAGAUGACAGCGGCCCGAGCAGAGAAUUCCUCCGCCUGCUGGUCAUGGCAAUCAAAGACAGCAUGUACUUCACUGGACCAGAGGACAAGAAAAACGUGUCUUUGAUAUCCCGUGCUUUGGAUUCUGGAGAGUACAAAUAUAUUGGAGAAAUGCUCGCUUUUGCCAUUGUCCACGGAGGCAUCAGGCCGUCCUUUUUUUCAGAGCGUCUCUAAUGCAUGCUUGCCCAUUGUCCAACUCCACCAAUUAAGAUUGAGGAGGUGGAUGACAUGGAAAUUCAGGAGAAGUUGCAAAGGGUUGGAAGCGGAACUUCAGCAGUUUGGAAUUGCUGAGGCAAUAGCAAAGCAUCCGGAGGUAAUGAAACCUCUUUUUGUUGGAAGCCCCAAAGGUGUUGAUAUGGAAGACCUUCAGAACCUUUUCAUGACAUGAGACAUGAGAACCAGGCUUUCAUGUUCUGGAAAGACUGGCUCCUGGAGGUGGAUGAGGGAACUAGACCUGUGACCCUGCAACAAAUAUUAACAUUUGUCUCAGGGGUAGACACCAUUCCACUGCUUGGGUUUCCCUACCCACCACAGCUGGAAUUCUUGCAUGGCGACAAUGACAGUAGGAGAGUGUUCCCAGAGGCCAACACUUGUCAAGUUGUCUUAAGGCUGCCUCUGCACACCUCUUAUGACAACUUUAUCCAUUUCAUGGAGUCUGGGAUACUGCAGUCCCCGACUUUUGGAGUAAUCUAGUCAAUAUAUAUACAUAUACACAACGU